rnacentral:rRNA from 1 species
GGACCCGCACAAGUAGUGGAGCAUGUGGUUUAAUUCGAAGAUACGCGCAGAACCUUACCAACACUUGACAUGUUCGUCGCGACUUUAAGAGAUUAGAGUUUUCGGUUCGGCCGGACGAAACACAGGUGCUGCAUGGCUGUCGUCAGCUCGUGUCGUGAGAUGUUGGGUUAAGUCCCGCAACGAGCGCAACCCUCACUUUUAGUUGCCAUCAUUUAGUUGGGCACUCUGAAAGAACUGCCAGUGAUAAGCUGGAGGAAGGUGGGGAUGACGUCAAGUCCUCAUGGCCCUUACGUGUUGGGCUACACACGUGCUACAAUGGCAUUCACAAUAGGAAGCAAGACGGCGACGUCAAGCAAAUCCUAAAAAGAUGCCUCAGUUCGGAUUGUACUCUGCAACUCGAGUACAUGAAGCUGGAAUU